rnacentral:rRNA from 1 species
AGAUCAUGAGAUCUGACUUGUGGUAGGUAGCAUAAUAAUUAGUAAUUUAAUUGGUUACUAGAAUGAAUGGCCUGACAAAAAAUUUACUUUCUUCUAUUAAAUUUAAAUUAAUAUAUAAGUAAAAAAGCUUAUACCUAAUAGAUUGACGACAAGACCCUAAAACCUUUAGUAGAUAACCUAUUAAAGAUCUCUUUUACUGGGGAGGUAAGAAACUUCUCGUUGCUUAUUUUAACAUAUUUAAUGAACUUAACUUUCUAAAAAUAAAUUCAAACAGGUACUUUAGGGAUAACAGUAUAAUUUUUAUCAAGAGUAACUUAUCGACAUAAAAGAUUGUAACCUCGAUGUUGGAAUUGAUAAAACCUUACUAAGCAGCAAUAGUA